UGGGGAAUAUUGGGCAAUGGGCGAAAGCCUGACCCAGCAACGCCGCGUGAAGUAUGAAGGCCUUCGGGUUGUAAACUUCUUUGAUCAGGGAUGAAACAAAUGACGGUACCUGAAAAACAAGCCACGGCUAACUACGUGCCAGCAGCCGCGGUAAUACGUAGGUGGCGAGCGUUAUCCGGAUUUACUGGGUGUAAAGGGCGUGCAGGCGGGCUGAUAAGUCAGAUGUGAAAUCCCCGAGCUUAACUCGGGAACUGCAUCUGAUACUGUUGGUCUUGAGUGCUGGAGAGGAUAGUGGAAUUCCUAGUGUAGCGGUAAAAUGCGCAGAUAUUAGGAGGAACACCAGUGGCGAAGGCGGCUAUCUGGACAGUAACUGACGCUGAGGCGCGAAAGCGUGGGUAGCAAACAGG
rnacentral:rRNA from 1 species